AUAAAAAUAUAUUUUUUAUUAUCGAUAACAUUAAAUACAAGCAAUCACUAAAACGAUAACAGUUCGUGAAGUAUAUUUGUUACUGGGUCCGUACAACGGCGCCCCGCGCCCAUGCCUUUUUCACAGCGCUCGCCCGGGGCCCGCGGAGGGCGGUCGCCCGACACCGCCUACUUCGUCGGGUACAGGCGUCGCCCGCCUCGUGUACUGCUGUACCUUAAAUUACAGAUAGUCCAAAUAGAAAUAUUGCUUCGACAGAAUGUACACUGUGGUGAACCAACACGUUCACUACAACACUAUGAGAAGCAAUAUCUUUCGUGCUUAAAGACAAACUGCGAAAACCUACCUCUGAAUGAACCAAAGACAAGAAGACCCAAAAAACUAAAUUCAUGGUCAAGUGCCCAUAAAAACAUUAAUCAACCAGCAUAGUAAUGCGAUGUGUGUACAACUGUCCGAGAACAAACUGAAUUUAAAAUAGCGUCGCAUAUUAUGCGAUGCGUGCGGCGACAGCGAGACCACUAAAGUAAACGGCUCACUCGACUCUCGACGAUGCUGUGCACUAAGCGGUCGUACAUUGGUACGUCAUCGAAUGAAUCAUUGAAACAGUCACUCAACGAACCGACAUACCAGUGUCAUGCUGUUGUAUUAUUAUUUUAUAUAUUUCAUACAUACAACACUGACACUUUACAACUGUAAUUAGGUAUUAGUACAAUUGCCUAUGAAGCUAGACCGAAGCAGACAGUGUUUUCACAACUUAGUAAUUUUUCUUAAGAUUCAUUUUACACCCUCACCACCGAAGCACCGAAAAUGAGGAGGUAAACAGUGGAGUUAGUAGAAGUAGUGGAUGAAGGAGAUGCAGCAAGUUGACGCGACAAUGAAACUCGGUCCGCUCGUUUUUUAUUUCGGCAAGUCAAGUAAGUAGUCCCCCGCUUCUCCCACGUCCGUACCUGCCUGUCAAGCCGGGUCUUUAUCGUACAAUUUUUUCAGGGUCUUUAUCGUACAAUUUUUAGUGUUGUGACUCUUCCGUAGUCUAAAGUGGAUUUAGAAGCAAACAUUUCUGGAGAAAAGUUAAUUUUGUCCUUUGUGUCGAGGACCAGUCAGUCUAUUAUUGCCCAAUAUAUUUUCAGAUACUCAAAACUUACUCUCGAUAGCUCAGCAAGCAAGUAAAUGGAAAGAAGUCGACUAUUAGGACCUUUAACAAGUAGACAUGCCAGAUAUUACGAUACGAUAGAUAGAAACAUAGUCAAGGCGCCUAUGUUGUGAAAUAUCUCGGUAAUUGAACUGAAAUAAAAGUCUAAAUUUGUGCUAAUGUUAAAUUAUUAAAAUAAACGAUAAAUACAAAUAUAUAAUAUUUC